AGAACUUAAAUGUCUGAGAUGACAGUGGCAGCUUCCGACAGAUGUUCAUAGCAGUUCGUUUGCGACCGAGCUAAAAAAAGCUCUUGAUCGAAUCUUCGAACGGGAACAUAUAUAAAUUAUGGAAAAUGCAGAAAAUUAUCGAUUCUUAUUUGAAAACAGGAUUUGAGAGUCCAAUUAAUUGAUUAAUCCAAAUGAUUUAUUUAUUGUUUUGAAAUAUAAUGAUAUUUCGAGAAUGCGUGACAGACGGCUGGGGUGGCUUAAACGUCAAAGUGUAAUUUGAAAUUCGUGGGGUUGAUCGAGUGAACGACGACGAGUGUCUGUCAGUGGUUGCGCCAUUGCGUCUGCCCUACGAAGUGCGAG